CAUUGCAGUUCCAAACUCCAAAGGCCUCUGCCCUGUGGUCCUUCCAAAGGAUUUAUGACAUCAGUUCCUCCAUUCUGCAAAGAAGAACACCAAGAAAGGACAGAAACAUGCGGAGUCUUAUGCAGGACACUGGUAAAGGAAGAAUAUCAUGUCACUCAUACUAUAACCCCUGUGCAGAAUGGAGAGCCUGAUUAUUGUUAUGCUUAGAAUGAGGAGGAACUUCUUUUUAUUCAAGAAGAGCUGGGGCUUCUCACCUUAGGUUGGAUUCAUGUAAGCAAACUGACCUCCCUGUGGUGGGCUCCUCUUCUAAGCACACUGCCUAUUUCUUUCUCAUCACAGAGUCAAUCCUUUCCAGAUCAUCUGUCUCUGAGCACAAGCAGUCACCAGUGUUCCAGCCUUGAAACAAAGGCACAUUUCCUGGUGUAUUUCCAGCUCUUCUAAUUUUAUCUCUUACUCAAAGUAAUUCUUCAAAGUUCCAAUAUCUUGUGAAUAGAUGAAUAAUGGUAGCUUCCCUAGGAUGCAUGAGAACAUGGUGUAGAGACCAUGUCCCUAAAAGCUGUAU